GUUCAACAAAUUAUUAACUACACAUGUAAAUCAUAGAUAUACAAAAUUAAAUUAUACAUUUUAUACAAAAUUAAGUAGACUAAUUACCAAAAUAUCAUAUGUAUUGCAGACCAAAUUAUCGACAAAAGUGAAGUAUAUUAUCUUUAAGAAUCUAGAAUAUGGCACAAGCAAACUAAAAAAGAUACAUUAUCCGCCAGGGGGUUAACUCAUUGUCGCUUGGGCUAAUAUCAGGCUGGAUUGCUAAAGGCCAAAACUGUUGUCUGGCGCCAGUGUAUUUUUUUUUCUAUUUUAAUAAUAUUUCAUCUUUACAAAUUGCAAUAUUGAGCGAACUCUUAGAUAAGGAAGGGAGGACUCUGGCAACAAACCCAAACAAGUCUACCAAGUAGGAUUCAUUUUCACUUCACAAAAGAAAUUUCACUAAACUUUUUAAGUAUAAGUUCAUCCAAGUAAUUGGAAAAAUUUGUGUCGCGUCGGGAUGCCAUAGUGGCUACAUGCUAACUAAGUCUGAGAUGAAGGAUCCUACUUCCGCCAAAAGACGUUUCCAUAUUUUCCAAAGGAUAAGGAAUGACAAAGUCUAUGAAUCAAAGCUCUCUAUUUUAACAAUUAGCCAUUAGAAACUUUCAAAUAAUUAUGCUAUUAUAUGUGACUCAAAUUUUUUAUCUUCCAACUAUGAAAUUCAAUUUGAGGAUACAAACAAAUAUUGGCUUGAGGAUAUCUCAAUAAAAUAUUGAACAAGGAUGCUACACCAACACAGUUUCCAAACAUACCCUUGUAUUUUUCCAAGCUAGCCAAAAUAUUGAGGAGCAAAGCAUCUCUCUCUCUUCAACUCGGAUCUUAAAAGAAAAUAUUACGAAUAAAAUUCAUGUUUUCCUAAUGUCUGAUACUAUUUCUUCGACAUCAAAACUAAGUUUAAAACUGAACAGAGCACGCCUACCCCUUGAGUUUUAUGAGCGUUUUGACUCCAUUGAUCAGGCAUUGAUAUUUCAUAAUCUUGAAUUUUCGGAUUCACAUGGAUUUUUCAUCGGAUUUUGUGCCGAAGUUAAUUUAGACUUAUCAAUUAGAAUGUGGUACAAGAACAAGGAAUUUUCAUUUUAACUACUGAAAAACAUCAUUGACAAUAAUCUUAUUAAUAAGUGUGAUAUUUUAUUGAACAUACUGGCUUAUUUGAAUUCCUUAACUACUUGGGAUUUUGUUUUUCUGAAAAUUUAACUCAAACCAAUGUUGAAGAUGCAAUAGAAUCAUUUUGUAAGUGUUUUCAAAACCUCAAGCAGCAUUUUCCAAUUAUCCCUCCUUGAAAAAUAUUCUUUACAAAGGAGGUACACCGCCUGGAUGUAUGCUUUGUCUAUGUUAUGGAAAAGUUUUUCAACAGCUUUAUAUAAAGAACUCUGCAAUGAAGCCCUUAAUUUGCUUCAUUAGUCAGUGAUCGCAUUUCGCGAUUAUGGGGAUAGAAAUGGUGAAAAAGAAUGGCUUGUCAUGGCAGACUUAUCAGGAGUAUUUUGGACGUGGUGAAUGAUUGUAAUUACACGAUUACCAGGAAUUGGAAGUUACCAAGAGAAAUGAAUGGAAAAACAAAUAACCAUGGAUUACUUUGAGCUUCACUUUCUAAAAGAUGUCUCAUGUUGGCCUGAUGAAUGGGAAAGACACUGAGUCUAAGUAACCAGCCUCGACAAUAGUUUAUUUUAAGAUGGACACAUACAGAUAGGUCACAACUGGAAACAUUAGUCAAAUCUAGUCAUGAUUUCGCCGAAGAUUUUGCGAAAGAUCUUCAAAAUAUCGACAUCAUGAUUUUAUAACCAAAAUGCAAUCGCCCAGCUUUAAAGGAGCGAAGAAAGAGUUAGAAGAUGGAGAAAUGGUAGUGGUUUGUGACUCUUGUGAUAAUUUUUCUUUCGUUGUUUAGGACGAGGUGCAAAGUUUUCAUUGGAACAAUUCUAUGGUAACACUUCACCCUUUCGUUGGAUAUGUCAAGCAAAAUACCAGCUUAAAACAUGUUAACUUUGUAGUGAAUAUAAUCAAGAAUUGGUACUCUUAAGCGAUAGGCAAAAAAGGGCCACCUCUAUACCUGGAACUCAGAAGUUUCCCUCAGUUAUCUCUGUGUCGAAAUUUUCCUUAAAGGUGAUACAUUUUACUGCUUCUGAGGUAUCGAUAGUCACUUCAACAAAAAAAAGUUAACUAUUGAUUCAGAAAUUAUAUUUAAAAUACAGCGGCAGUAAGAAAAAAAAAUAUU
rnacentral:lncRNA from 1 species